CAACCAGAUGGACAGAUGCCUAGUGAUAAGACCAUUGGUGAAGGGGACGACUCCUUCAACACCUUCUUUAGUGAAACUGGGGCUGGGAAGCAUGUGCCCCAGGCCGUGUUUGUGGACCUGGAGCCCACUGUGAUUGAUGAAAUUCGGACGGGCAUGUACCAGCAGCUCUUCUAUCCAGAGCAGUUCAUUGCUGGCAAGGAAGACGCUGCCAAUAACUAUGCCCAGGGUCACUACACCAUUGGAAAGGAGCUCAUCGACCUGGUACUGGACUGAAUUCAGAAGCUGGCCGACCAGUGCACGGGACUCCAGGGCUUCCUGGUGUUCCACAGCUUCGGAGGGGGCACCGGCUCUGGCUUCACCUCACUCCUGAUGGAGCGGCUCUCCGUUGACUAUGGCAAGAAAUCCAAGCUGGAGUUCUCCAUCUACCCCGCCCCCCAGGUGUCCACAGCCGUGGUGGAGCCUUACAACUCCAUCCUGACCACCCACACCACCCUGGAGCACUCGGACUGUGCCUUCAUGGUGGACAACGAGGCCAUCUAUGACAUCUGCCGCCGCAACCUGGACAUCGAGCGCCCCACCUACACCAACCUCAACCGGCUCAUCAGCCAGAUCGUGUCCUCCAUCACGGCCUCCCUGCGCUUCGACGGGGCCCUCAACGUGGACCUGACGGAGUUCCAGACCAACCUGGUGCCCUACCCUCGCAUCCACUUCCCCCUGGCCACCUACGCGCCAGUCAUCUCUGCGGAGAAGGCCUACCACGAGCAGCUGUCGGUGGCCGAGAUCACCAACGCCUGCUUCGAGCCUGCCAACCAGAUGGUGAAGUGUGACCCCCGUCACGGCAAGUACAUGGCCACCAUCGCCGCCAUCAAGACCAAGCGCAGUAUUCAGUUUGUGGACUGGUGCCCCACGGGCUUCAAGGUUGGGAUCAACUACCAGCCCCCCACCGUGGUGCCUGGGGGCGACCUGGCCAAGGUGCAGCGCGCCGUGUGCAUGCUGAGCAACACGACCGCCAUCGCCGAGGCCUGGGCCCGCCUGGACCACAAGUUCGACCUGAUGUAUGCCAAGAGGGCCUUUGUGCACUGGUACGUGGGCGAGGGCAUGGAGGAGGGGGAGUUCUCGGAGGCCCGGGAGGAUAUGGUGGCCCUGGAGAAGGAUUACGAGGAGGUAGGCAUGGAUAGUGUGGAGGGGGAGGGAGAAGAGGAGGGGGAUGAAUACUAG